rnacentral:tRNA from 3 species
ACUUUCAAAGGAUAGAAGCAAUCCAAUGGUCUUAGGAACCAUCCACCUUGGUGCAAAUCCAAGUGAAAGUA